UCCGAAAGGGGCUAUCGUUGUUCGGAAUUACUGGGCGUAAAGCGCACGUAGGCGGUCUUGUAAGAUGGGGGUGAAAUCCCCGGGCUCAACCCGGGAACUGCCUUCAUGACUGCAAAGCUAGAGGAUGCGAGAGGUUAGCGGAAUUCCGAGUGUAGAGGUGAAAUUCGUAGAUAUUCGGAAGAACACCAGUGGCGAAGGCGGCUAUCUGCUAGUGGUGAACUGACGCUAAGGUGCAAAAGCGUGGGGAGAGAACAGG
rnacentral:rRNA from 1 species